CAAACACAUCUCCGUCCAUUUUGUUCGAGCGAGGAGCCGCAGGGAAAAAAAUCUCCUCGGUAGAAAAGCCAGUAUUCAGAGAGGGCAGUUGUUGUGUCGGCGCCCAGUAUGUAGAUGUAGCAGGCACUGUAUUCGGUGUUGCACCCAGUUGCUUGAAGAUGCGACUUUUUUCAAUUAGAGAGGUCUGGGCAGAUGGAGUCCCGGAUGUCCUUACUUCCAUGCCUCGCAGGCCAUCAACGGAAAGCACGCGAGCCAUCCUGUGAGCAUCUAGACCCGCAUUCUCGAUCAGCUUACACGGGGAGGAAACCUGUUCUCGCUCUUGGGUGGAUGCUGGUGGAACACCAGAGUUUGCGGGGGAGACAAGAAAAGACGGAGGCUUGCGGGUUUGCAAAAGAGGCGACGUAGAUUCCUUAUUUGUGCCACCGGAUACGGCCUCGCCUUCAGCCACCGGUUUAUCACCGGAAACACGGUCUCUAAUCAAAAAGGCCUGACCUUCCAAGUUAUCAUGCCUUGGUUCUGGCGAAACACACAGCAGACAUCCCAAAACAGGAAAGCAAACACGCCGGCAAAUGGGCAGAAAGCCGCAUCUCACAGAGUACCUCCAGGGUACGAGCACGUCGUGGAAAAUGAAAAUGCAUAAGUUUCGAAAGUUAGCUUAUCAAGAUCAGCAUGCAACAACCACGCAGGUGGAGAUACAAGUGGCUUUCUGGACCUCUGAAUAUGCGUACCCAUCGCCGAAUAUAUCGUGCUGUGCCUCCCUCGGCUACCCUCACUCGGUGUCAUCUGAUAUGCUGUUUUUAUCUUACGCUUAUCAUCGUUCCCUUUUUACUUCUCUUUUGCUUGCCUCUCCCUGUUGCACCUUUCGUCGGAUUCAGGAACCAAGAGGCGACAACCAGUUUUAUUCCGGUUGCAUUUGCCCACCUAUUGAGCCGAUGGGUUUGCUGGCAGCUUUCCCAGCGUUCUCAGUCGCCGCUCGGCGUCGACCGGCAAGUGACCGUGGAAUUGUGCUGUUCGCUUGGACACCGCGUGCCAAACAGGAAGCCUCUCGGUCUUUCUUCCCUUGAGAGGAGCUACCCUGUUCUCCGUCUGUUUCUGUGUGACUGUAGGAACCACUUUUACAUUGUGAAGGGUGGUUUUCCGUCUGGUGAAGCUGCGCAUUGGUGGACGCUUGGUUCGAUUCACUGCCAGUUGCCGUCUCUGGCGGGGCAUUCAGUUUCUUCACGACUGAGAAAGAGAAGGACUCUCCCAAAGUUUUCCUCGACGCACCACCUUUUUUCAGUUCCUCGUCGAGAAAAGAAGGUCUGCAACCGUGCCUUCCCUGUAGCUGAUGCUCGAGAGAGUCCG
rnacentral:lncRNA from 1 species